ACAUGAGCAGUGUGUCCCCACCAGCCAGAGGAGCCACCACUGCUGUGAGCAGCACCCACCAGAAGAGUUGCUGCCAACUGAGGAGCAGCUCCUACCACAACAA